CCCUAGAUGUUCUGGGCCGCACGCGCGCUACACUGAACAGUUCAACAAGUCUUAACCUUGGCCGAUAGGUCUGGGUAAUCUUUGAACGCUGUUCGUGAUUGGGAUAGACCUUUGCAAUUAUGGGUCUUCAACGAGGAAUUCCUAGUAAACGCAAGUCAUCAGCUUGCAUUGAUUACGUCCCUGCCCUUUGUACACACCGCCCGUCGCACCUACCGAUUGAAUGGUCCGGUGAAAUCUCGGGACGGCGGCUUGGUCGCUUGCGUCCGACUGCUGAAACUUGAUUAAACCAUAUCAUUUAGAGGAAGGUGAAGUCGUANCA
rnacentral:rRNA from 1 species